CUAUAAGGUCUCUAUAAAAAGCGCACAGUAGAUGGCAAGAUCGUACAAGAGCCGCUAGUUUCCACGAGGAAAAGGAGACGAGGGUGGACAGUGGCCCAUAUGGAGACAUUUAGUUUUUCACAGCAAAGAAGGUGGAAAGAGGGAGAGAGAGGGAGGGAGAGCCAUAAAGAGGGGAGACAGAGAAGGUGGUGGGUGUGUCUCACUCCUUCCCCUGUAGUAUGCCAUGGGUGGGUGUUUCUAGCUACUGCAUAGUAUGGGUUCUCUCCAUCAUCUACAAAAGCCUUGGGAUUAUCUAUACUGUCUGCAGGCAUGCACACACUGGUAUAUAAAGUCGACUGUGUCCAGCUCUUGAUUAGACUAUAGAGUGCCCAGACUGUCUUUGUGCAUACAAUAAACCAUCUCUUUGAUUGCGCCCUGGCUCCUGGUCUCCUGAUUCUUCAGUCAUUUUACUUCUGGUAAAGCUGUAGUAUUUUGAUCAUCCAGAAAACCUUUACAACAGAGCACAGAACCUUAACCAUUGAUCUACCACUGUCUAAUAACAAACAAAUGGUUACUUUUCAAAUGUCCUAAAGUUAUACAUUAAGCAAUAAAGAAGAAUGAUGAUUUCCUUGGCUCCAUCCUGAUUUCUUCUGUUUUUGUGUACAUCUCAUCUACCACCCCAAUUCUGAAAAAGUUGGGACAGUAUGGAAAACAAACAAACAAAAAGAAUAAUUUGAAAAUUCUAUUCACCCUGUACUAUAUUGAAAACACAUUAUUAACACAUUAUCAUAUGUUUUACUUUGUGAAUUUAAUUUAUUUUUGAAAAUAUACAGUCAUUUCAAAUCUCAUGAAAGUCUCCAAAAAAGUUGGGACAGUCGACUGUUCCAUAAAACUUAAGCGUUGACACUGAAGACACCAGCUGGUUAAGUUGAGCAAGCGGAAUUUUCCCCCAUUCAUUCAUGCAUUUCUUCAGCUGCACAACUGUACAUUGCCUUCGUUGCUUCAUUUUGUGCUUCAUAAUGCGGCACACAUUCUCAAUCAGAGACAGGUCAGGACUGCAGGCAGGCCAUGCUAGCACCCACAUUCUGCUUAUGCAACCAUGUGCUUGUAAUCCGGGCAGAAUGUGGUUUGGCGUUGUCCUGCCUGAAAAGACAACGGCUGGAUGGCAGUAUAUUUUGCUCCAAAAUGUGUACAUAUCUUUCUGCAUUAAUGGUGGACAGUGUUGAUGUUUAGCUUCUGCUUUGCAUAAAGCCUUAACGUGCAACUGUGGAUGCAGCAGCGGAUGGUGUUGCCUGACAAAGGAUUCCUGAGCCCUUGUCAGGAUAUCCAUUACAGACUCAUGACAGUUUUUAAGACAGUGACGUCUG